UACGGAGGGAGCUAGCGUUGUUCGGAAUUACUGGGCGUAAAGCGCGCGUAGGCGGCUUUGUAAGUUAGAGGUGAAAGCCCGGAGCUCAACUCCGGAACUGCCUUAAAACUGCAUCGCUUGAAUCCGGGAGAGGUGAGUGGAAUUCCGAGUGUAGAGGUGAAAUUCGUAGAUAUCUGGAGGAACACCGGUGGCGAAGGCGGCAUCCUGGACCAUGACUGACGCUGAGGAGCGAAAGCCAGGGGAGCAAACGGG
rnacentral:rRNA from 1 species